rnacentral:rRNA from 1 species
GACGAACGCCGGCGGCGUGCUUAACACAUGCAAGUCGAACGGAAAGGCCCUGCUUUCGUGGGGUGCUCGAGUGGCGAACGGGUGAGUAACACGUGAGUAACCUGCCCUUGACUUUGGGAUAACUUCAGGAAACUGGGGCUAAUACCUGACAGGAGCUCCUGCUGCACGGUGGGGGUUGGAAAGUUUCGGCGGUUGGGGAUGGACUCGCGGCUUCUCAGCUUGUUGGUGGGGUAGUGGCUUACCAAGGCUUUGACGGGUAGCCGGCCUGAGAGGGUGACCGGCCACAUUGGGCCUGAGAUACGGGCCAGACGCCUACGGGGAGCAGAAGGGGGGAAUGUUGCAAAAUGGGCCGAAGCCUGAUGCAGCAACGCCGCGUGCGGGAUGACAGCCUUCGGGUUGUGACCCGCUUGCGCCUGUGACGAAGCGUGAGUGACGGUAAUGGGUAAAGAAGCACCGGCUAACUACGUG